AUUGAACGCUGGCGGCAGGCUUAACACAUGCAAGUCGAGCGGAGAUGAGGUGCUUGCACCUUAUCUUAGCGGCGGACGGGUGAGUAAUGCUUAGGAAUCUGCCUAUUAGGUGGGGACGACAUUUCGAAAGGAAUGCUAAUACCGCAUACGUCCUACGGGAGAAAGCAGGGGAUCUUCGGACAGUGCGCCAAUAGAUGAGCCUAAGUCGGAUUAGCUAGUUGGUGGGGUAAAGGCCUACCAAGGCGACGAUCUGUAGCGGGUCUGAGAGGAUGAUCCGCCACACUGGGACUGAGACACGGCCCAGACUCCUACGGGAGGCAGCAGUGGGGAAUAUUGGACAAUGGGCGCAAGCCUGAUCCAGCCAUGCCGCGUGUGUGAAGAAGGCCUUAUGGUUGUAAAGCACUUUAAGCGAGGAGGAGGCUACUUUAGUUAAUACCUAGAGAUAGUGGACGUUACUCGCAGAAUAAGCACCGGCUAACUCUGUGCCAGCAGCCGCCGUAA
rnacentral:rRNA from 1 species